AGUGAACGCUGGCGGUAGGCCUAACACAUGCAAGUCGAACGGAAGCACAGUAAGAGCUUGCUCUUACGGGUGGCGAGUGGCGGACGGGUGAGGAAUACAUCGGAAUCUACUUUUUCGUGGGGGAUAACGUAGGGAAACUUACGCUAAUACCGCAUACGACCUACGGGUGAAAGCAGGGGAUCUUCGGACCUUGCGCGAUUGAAUGAGCCGAUGUCGGAUUAGCUAGUUGGCGGGGUAAAGGCCCACCAAGGCGACGAUCCGUAGCUGGUCUGCGAGGAUGAUCAGCCACACUGGAACUGAGACACGGUCCAGACUCCUACGGGAGGCAGCAGUGGGGAAUAUUGGACAAUGGGCGCAAGCCUGAUCCAGCCAUACCGCGUGGGUGAAGAAGGCCUUCGGGUUGUAAAGCCCUUUUGUUGGGAAAGAAAAGCAGCAGGUUAAUACCCCGCUGUUCUGACGGUACCCAAAGAAUAAGCACCGGCUAACUUCGUG
rnacentral:rRNA from 1 species